UCUCUGAGAGCUGAUCUGAGCUGCUGCUAAGGACCGAAACGCGCCUCAAGCUGUCACUUGCCGCCUGGAGUUCGUUGGGAAAGUUGAAAAAGCCUAGUCCUGUUUAGGAAAUCUAUCCAGCUGUGUAUAUACUUUUUGCUUUUAGGGUAUGAAGCUCAGGAAGGAUAAGAAAAACAAGAUCACACAGCUGGCAAGUGGCAAAGCAGGACACAAUUUAUAACUCCAGAACGAGAAUUUGCAGUUGUUGCGCCAGAUGCCCUGUAGCGGGGCUGCCACCAAGAAGGUGGAAGAACACCUUUAAUUCCAGCACUCAGGACACAGAAGCAGGGUUGAGGCCAGAAAACCAUGCAAACACUUGUUCACACACAAGCCCACAGUUCUCAUCUUAAAAGGAGCAAGAGAUGGUUUAUUCUGGAGCCAUUUUGAGUAAUAACGAC
ensembl:processed_transcript 9230114K14Rik RIKEN cDNA 9230114K14 gene